GCUUUGGUGGCUUAAGUGGUUAGAGUGUAUGACUCAGAUGCAGAAGACCAUGGGUUUGAACCCUGGCCAGUUCA